GGGUCCCCAUGAUGUGUAGCACUGGGCUCCGACUGUCCCUGAGGACAUGGUGCCCCCCCAGGACCUUUGACACCUGGGGGUCUGAGGGACCC